rnacentral:lncRNA from 1 species
AGCAACCAAUGAAAAUAUUUUGAGAAAAAACUCAAAUAAAAGAGCAAAUUCUUGCCCUCGAUGCUCAAGAAGAGAGCAGAAACUUGUCCUCUACGGAACAUGGUAGAAGAAAAGCACUUAAGGAUCAACUGGAAAAUAUUCUGCAAGCAGAGGAAACUCCGUGAAAGCAAAGAUCACAUGUUACUUGGCUGUUGCAAGGAGAUCACAACACGAAGUUUUUCCAUGCCUAU